rnacentral:rRNA from 1 species
CGAGCGGUAAGGCCCUUUCGGGGGUACACGAGCGGCGAACGGGUGAGUAACACGUGGGUGACCUGCCCUCAGCUCUGGGAUAAGCCUGGGAAACUGGGUCUAAUACCGGAUAUGACCUACCUCUGCAUGGGGGUGGGUGGAAAGUUUUUCGGCUGAGGAUGGGCCCGCGGCCUAUCAGCUUGUUGGUGGGGUGAUGGCCUACCAAGGCGACGACGGGUAGCCGGCCUGAGAGGGCGACCGGCCACACUGGGACUGAGAUACGGCCCAGACUCCUACGGGAGGCAGCAGUGGGGAAUAUUGCGCAAUGGGCGAAAGCCUGACGCAGCGACGCCGCGUGGGGGAUGACGGCCUUCGGGUUGUAAACCUCUUUCGACCGGGACGAAGGGUGACUGACGGUACCGGUAGAAGAAGCACCGGCCAACUACGUGCCAGCAGCCGCGGUAAUACGUAGGGUGCGAGCGUUGUCCGGAAUUAUUGGGCGUAAAGAGCUCGUAGGCGGUGUGUCACGUCGGUCGUGAAAACUUGGGGCUCAACCCUGAGCGUGCGGUCGAUACGGGCAUCACUUGAGUUCGGCAGGGGAGACUGGAAUUCCUGGUGUAGCGGUGAAAUGCGCAGAUAUCAGGAGGAACACCGGUGGCGAAGGCGGGUCUCUGGGCCGAUACUGACGCUGAGGAGCGAAAGCGUGGGGAGCGAACAGGAUUAGAUACCCUGGUAGUCCACGCCGUAAACGGUGGGCACUAGGUGUGGGGGCCAUUCCACGGUCUCUGUGCCGCAGCUAACGCAUUAAGUGCCCCGCCUGGGGAGUACGGCCGCAAGGCUAAAACUCAAAGGAAUUGACGGGGGC